UACGUAGGGGCCGAGCGUUGUCCGGAGUUAUUGGGCGUAAAGCGCGCGCAGGCGGCUUCACGCGCCCGACGUGAAAGCCCCCGGCUUAACCGGGGAGGGUCGUCGGGGACGGUGGAGCUUGAGGGCGGGAGAGGUCGGUGGAAUUCCCGGUGUAGUGGUGAAAUGCGUAGAUAUUGGGAAGAACACCGGUGGCGAAGGCGGCUACCUGGACCGGUACUGACGCUGAGGCGCGAAAGCCAGGGGAGCGAAUGGG
rnacentral:rRNA from 1 species